UUGUAGUCAUAUGCUUGUCUCAAAGAUUAAGCCAUGCAUGUCUAAGUAUGAGCAACUUUGUACUGUGAAACUGCGAAUGGCUCAUUAAAUCAGUUAUAGUUUAUUUGAUGGUUUUUGCUACAUGGAUAACUGUGGUAAUUCUAGAGCUAAUACAUGCAUUCAAGCCCCGACUUCUGGAAGGGGUGUAUUUAUUAGAUAAAAAUCAACUUUGUUGGUGAAUCAUAAUAACUUCUCGGACCGCAUGGCCUCGUGCUGGCGGUGCUUCAUUCAAAUAUCUGCCCUAUCAACUGUCGAUGGUAGGAUAGAGGCCUACCAUGGUUGCAACGGGUAACGGGGAAUAAGGGUUCGAUUCCGGAGAGGGAGCCUGAGAAACGGCUACCACAUCUAAGGAAGGCAGCAGGCACGAAAAUUACCCAAUCCCAAUUCGGGGAGGUAGUGACAAGAAAUAACAAUACGGGGUCUUUAUAGGUCUCGCAAUUGGAAUGAGUACAAUUUAAAUCCUUUAACGAGUACCAA
rnacentral:rRNA from 1 species